CGCAGCAUUUUCAUUGAAACUUAAAUGAUAUCUAUAGUGUACCGUGUAUCCAUUUGAUUUAUUUUUUUCUAAACAUCAUUGUCGAUCGCAAGCUGAAACCGUUAUUAAUGCUACGAAGGAGGGUUAUAAAACACGGGAAAAUAUUGCAAUGGUUCCCAGUCUAACAAGCCUGAUCGUUUCGUUCACCAACUCGAGUGCGAACUCACGUCGGACUUUUAAUCGAAAAAUAAACCUCGAUUUGUUGUACGAAACCGCGUUGUUUAUAGGUAACAGCGAAAAAAUAGCGAUGUGCGAUGUGUAUACUCUACGAAGUAACAAAAAUAUUUUGGAAACCAAUGAUUAUUAUUAGGUACCUAUUAUUUUUCCGAUUAUGAAGUACUUGUGUUUAUGCGCUCCCGUUAUGAAAUGUCGACUGCCGAUUAUAAUAUUGCAAAAUAAGUUUUACUUUUAUU